rnacentral:lncRNA from 1 species
CCACUUACACCUGAGUGAGGAUGGGAAGAAGAGAAGACAAGGACGAAUGUAGGAAACUGUCAGUUAAAUGACAAUGUAUGGAUGGCAAGAGAGAAAGAAUAGUCAGUGAUGGAAAAAUAAUCAAUAACAGCUUUGGGCUUUUGAGUUUGAAAAUGGUGUGUAGGGUGAGACAACAAUAGGAAACUUCUAAUAAAGAAUGAACAAGUACUUCUACUUGUUCAAUGAAUGUGAAUCUGGUACAUACAUUUGAUCCUUAAAAUAUUCUCACUAAACUGGUAUCAUUUAAUGGAACUGUUUAAUGUUAUCCUGGGCAAGUUACUUACUCAAUUUGCCUUAGCAUCUCAUCUGCAAAAUGUGGAUGAGUACCUACCCCCCAGGGUUAUGUCAAAAAUUAGAUAAGAUGAAAAGUAAGUUAUAGUAUUAGAAUGGCACCCAAUACAUAGUUUGGAAUUUUUUAAAAUGUCAGCUAUUAUGAUGAUAACAAUGGUGGCUUACAAGACCUUUGACCAUCUGGCUUCCCUCUCCAAGCAUGCCAAAUUAAUCACACUUCUUAAACACAUCUCUUGACCGGGGUGUUCUCACCAUGCCCUUUCUACAAACAAAAAGUCCUACAAGAGUUGGAGCCAUCCUCUCCUCAUCUUCUACUUUCUGCCUUCUUCUGGGACACGCUAUUGAUCACGAAGUAUCUUAUCCUUGAAAAAUCUCCUCUCUUCAACUCGAGUACUACUGCAGAAAGCAGCAACUUGGCGGCCUUUUAUGGAUGGGUGUUACUGAAUAAAGAAUGAAGAUGUGGAGACCUGGAGACAGGUGGCACCUCGUGCUUCCUCCGAAGGGAGAGCCCAUUUCCUAACAGCUGGAUCAAAGGCAUGAAAUGAACAUGGAGUCCCUGAAGAUGAAGAGAAGGCAUGGCUUCCAGGGAGAAAUUGUACAUUACAGGAAUGCAGAUGUGAUUCCUAUGGAUGAGGGUAACCUAGAGGCUAGAAGAACAAUAGGACAGAAGAAGCCUGGGUCCCUGAACAACCUUGUGGAGCAUAGACACCUACGUGGCCUGGACUGCCAGCUCACAAUGGGCCUCUCUGUGAGAGAAGGAAACUUCCCUCUUGUUUAAGCAACUGUGCUUUUGAGAAUCUCUUGGUCUAUACCCUAAUGAAUAAGGCCAUCAUAAAUGGAUAUCAAAGUAAGGAAAUUUGUGUAAAUGAUUUAAUAAAACAUUACCUCAGGUAUGAAAUAA